rnacentral:rRNA from 1 species
GAUGAACGCUAGCGGCGUGCUUAACACAUGCAAGUCGAACGGAAAGGCCCAAGCUUGCUUGGGUACUCGAGUGGCGAACGGGUGAGUAACACGUGGGUGAUCUGCCCUGCACUUCGGGAUAAGCCUGGGAAACUGGGUCUAAUACCGGAUAGGACCACAUUUUGGAUGGUGUGGUGGAAAGUUUUUCGGUGUGGGAUGAGCUCGCGGCCUAUCAGCUUGUUGGUGGGGUAAUGGCCUACCAAGGCGUCGACGGGUAGCCGGCCUGAGAGGGUGUACGGCCACAUUGGGACUGAGAUACGGCCCAGACUCCUACGGGAGGCAGCAGUGGGGAAUAUUGCACAAUGGGCGCAAGCCUGAUGCAGCGACGCCGCGUGGGGGAUGACGGCCUUCGGGUUGGAAACUCCUUUCGCUAGGGACGAAGCGUUUUUGUGACGGUACCUGGAGAAGAAGCACCGGCUAACUACGU